rnacentral:rRNA from 1 species
AAUGAACGCUGGCGGCACGCCUAACACAUGCAAGUCGAGCGCCAGCGAGACUAGUAGCAAUACUAGUUGUCGGCGAGCGGCGGACGGGUGAGUAACACGUAGGAAUCUGCCCUUAAGCGGGGGAUAACCAAGGGAAACUUUGGCUAAUACCGCAUAAUCUCGAGAGAGCAAAGCUGCCCGCAAGGGUGGCACUUGAGGAGGAGCCUGCGUCCGAUUAGCUAGUUGGUGGGGUAAUGGCCUACCAAGGCGAUGAUCGGUAACUGGUCUGAGAGGACGACCAGUCACACUGGGACUGAGACACGGCCCAGACUCCUACGGGAGGCAGCAGUGGGGAAUAUUGGACAAUGGGGGCAACCCUGAUCCAGCGAUGCCGCGUGAGUGAAGAAGGCCUUCGGGUCGUAAAGCUCUUUAGGUUGGGAAGGAGGGUAUUGGCUGAAUAGUCCAGUACUUUGACGGUACCGACAGAAUAAGCACCGGCAAACUCUGUGCCAGCAGCCGCCGUAAAAC